rnacentral:rRNA from 1 species
GACAGCAGUCGCCGCGGGAAUACGUAGGGUGCAAGCGUUAAUCGGAAUUACUGGGCGUAAAGCGUGCGCAGGCGGUUAUAUAAGACAGAUGUGAAAUCCCCGGGCUCAACCUGGGAACUGCAUUUGUGACUGUAUAGCUAGAGUACGGCAGAGGGGGAUGGAAUUCCGCGUGUAGCAGUGAAAUGCGUAGAUAUGCGGAGGAACACCGAUGGCGAAGGCAAUCCCCUGGGCCUGUACUGACGCUCAUGCACGAAAGCGUGGGGAGCAAACAGGAUUAGAUACCCCUGUAGUCCCUGUCUCUUAUAC